CUGAGAGGUGAUGCGUAGCCGUUGCGGCGAAUUCCAUGAUCCUAUGCUGCCGAGAAAAGCCUCUAGUGAGUUGGUACACGGCCCGUACCCCAAACCAACACAGGUGGUCAGGUAGAGAAUACUAAGGCGAUCGAGAGAACUGUGGUUAAGGAACUCGGCAAAAUGCCCCCGUAACUUCGGGAGAAGGGGGACCCAUCCCGGUGACCGCCCUCGCGGUGUGAGCUGGUGUGGGUCGCAGAGACCAGAGAGAAGCGACUGUUUACUAAAAACACAGGUCCGUGCGAAGUCGUAAGACGAUGUAUACGGACUGACGCCUGCCCGGUGCUGGAAGGUUAAGAGGACCGGUUAAUCACUUCGGUGGUGAAGCUGAGAAUUUAAGCCCCAGUAAACGGCGGUGGUAACUAUAACCAUCCUAAGGUAGCGAAAUUCCUUGUCGGGUAAGUUCCGACCUGCACGAAUGGCGUAACGACUUCUCUGCUGUCUCAACCACAGACUCGGCGAAAUUGCAGUACGAGUAAAGAUGCUCGUUACGCGCGGCAGGACGAAAAGACCCCGGGACCUUCACUAUAGCUUGGUAUUGGUGUUCGGUUCGGUUUGUGUAGGAUAGGUGGGAGACUGUGAAACUCGCACGCUAGUGUGGGUGGAGUCGUUGUUGAAAUACCACUCUGAUCGUAUUGGACUUCUAACCUCGGACCCUGAUCGGGUUCAGGGACAGUGCCUGGUGGGUAGUUUAACUGGGGCGGUUGCCUCCCAAAAUGUAACGGAGGCGCCCAAAGGUUCCCUCAGCCUGGUUGGCAAUCAGGUGUUGAGUGUAAGUGCACAAGGGAGCUUGACUGUGAGACGUACAUGUCGAGCAGGGACGAAAGUCGGGACUAGUGAUCCGGCACCAACGUGUGGAAGUGGUGUCGCUCAACGGAUAAAAGGUACCCCGGGGAUAACAGGCUGAUCUUCCCCAAGAGUCCAUAUCGACGGGAUGGUUUGGCACCUCGAUGUCGGCUCGUCGCAUCCUGGGGCUGGAGUAGGUCCCAAGGGUUGGGCUGUUCGCCCAUUAAAGCGGCACGCGAGCUGGGUUUAGAACGUCGUGAGACAGUUCGGUCUCUAUCCGCCGCGCGCGUCUAGAAACUUGAGGAAACCUGUCCCUAGUACGAGAGGACCGGGACGGACGAACCUCUGGUGUGCCAGUUGUCCCGCCAGGGGCACUGCUGGUUAGCUACGUUCGGAAGGGAUAACCGCUGAAAGCAUCUAAGCGGGAAGCCUGUUCCAAGAUGAGGUUUCUCACCACC
rnacentral:rRNA from 1 species